GGUCUUGACGUUGCAGAGCGAGGAAGUGACGGAGGGCAGAUGUUAGUGACACCGAGUCAGUGUGAGCAACAGGAAGUGGCUGGUGGCUUUUUCGCUUGCAUUCGAUUGUGUUGUCGUCAUUUGAAUAGUUGUGGGCCGGGCAAUGGUGUCUGGAUGACAACAGCAAUGGUGUCUGGACAAAGAGACAAGAGUGGCCGCAGCAUUGACCGUUUCCACAUCUCGGCUUCAAACCGGUGACCUCGCGAGAAGAGUUUCAAGGGGCCUUGGCGGGACUGUCCCAUUCCGUCUCUGGGAAAUCCUGUGAAAGUGUACUACGCCCACACGAAUGAAUGAAAAACAUCAAUCCAAUCCUCCAGACCUCCACCAGCGGGAUGCAAAAACCAUUUCAUUCCCCAACAUCUCGACACUCUUAACUCAAUGUCCAUCAUCUUUGUCGGGCAGCGGUUCGCCUACUUUUGACUCCGACGAACGCCCCAAAAAUAUUUAGCUCUCCCAAGUGCCGCCAUCCUGAUCAACCUUAAAAGACAGUAGCGUAGUGAGCCCAAGUGCUCAUCAAAAACCAGGCACGUUUUAUUCCCUCAAAAAAUGAUUUCAUAUUAUUGUAAGGAAAUGAAGACAAUUAUGCAGUUUGCUUCUCGGAAGUUUUUUCUGCGAAUAUAAAACUGUACUUCAUGAUUGAAGUAAAAUGUAUAUCAUACAAGUUAUGAGCUUAAUGUCGUAUGAGACGAGAGUUGUUGUUAUGGCUGCGCAUGUCUCUGCGAAGACAGGCUCGGCGAGGUCCACCUUGCUUCUGUGCUUUGUUGCGAUUUUUGUGGACCCUUUCUCGCACAGAUAGCUGGGUGGUCAGAAAAGGAGAAAAGCUUCAAAGGUGUCCGUGUUGCCCGAUUGCGUGGGGCUUACCGGCUCUGGCGAUCGGGAGGCCGCCACGAUACGAAGCCUCCUGUGUUUUGGCUACGCUUGUACCACAGCAUGGCACAAUCUUGGAACGCUCUUUCCGGUUUUGCCCUUAAAUGCCAGCAGCCUCGCGUUUUGGCUGU